rnacentral:rRNA from 1 species
AUUGAACGCUGGCGGCAGGCUUAACACAUGCAAGUCGAGCGGGGUGAUGGUGCUUGCACUAUCACUUAGCGGCGGACGGGUGAGUAAUGCUUAGGAAUCUGCCUAUUAGUGGGGGACAACAUCUCGAAAGGGAUGCUAAUACCGCAUACGUCCUACGGGAGAAAGCAGGGGAUCACUUGUGACCUUGCGCUAAUAGAUGAGCCUAAGUCGGAUUAGCUAGGUGGUGGGGUAAAGGCCUACCAAGGCGACGAUCUGUAGCGGGUCUGAGAGGAUGAUCCGCCACAGUGGGACUGAGACACGGCCCAGACUCCUACGGGAGGCAGCAGUGGGGAAGAUUGGACAAUGGGGGGAACCCUGAUCCAGCCAUGCCGCGUGUGUGAAGAAGGCCUUAUGGUUGUAAAGCACUUUAAGCGAGGAGGAGGCUCUUUUGGUUAAUACCCAAGAUGAGUGGACGUUACUCGCAGAAUAAGCACCGGCUAACUCUGUGCCAGCAGCCGCCGCCG